rnacentral:rRNA from 1 species
UACAGAGGGUGCGAGCGUUAAUCGGAAUUACUGGGCGUAAAGCGUGCGUAGACGGUUAUGUAAGUCAGGUGUGAAAGCCCCGGGCUCAACCUGGGAAUUGCAUUUGAGACUGCAUAGCUAGGGUGCGGAAGAGGGAAGCGGAAUUUCCGGUGUAGCGGUGAAAUGCGCAGAUAUCGGGAGGAACACCGAUGGCGAAGGCAGGUCUCUGGGCCACUACUGACGCUGAGAAGCGAAAGCAUGGGGAGCGAACAGG